AACGAACGCUGGCGGCAGGCUUAACACAUGCAAGUCGAGCGCCCCGCAAGGGGAGCGGCAGACGGGUGAGUAACGCGUGGGAAUCUACCCAUCUCUACGGAAUAACGCAUGGAAACGUGUGCUAACACCGUAUACGUCCUUCGGGAGGAAGAUUUAUCGGAGAUGGAUGAGCCCGCGUUGGAUUGGCUAGUUGGUGGGGUAAAGGCCUACCAAGGCGACGAUCCAUAGCUGGUCUGAGAGGAUGAUCAGCCACACUGGGACUGAGACACGGCCCAGACUCCUACGGGAGGCAGCAGUGGGGAAUAUUGGACAAUGGGCGCAAGCCUGAUCCAGCCAUGCCGCGUGAGUGAUGAAGGCCCUAGGGUUGUAAAGCUCUUUCACCGGUGAAGAUAAUGACGGUAACCGGAGAAGAAGCCCCGGCUAACUUCGUGCCAGCCGCCGCCGUAAUAC
rnacentral:rRNA from 1 species